rnacentral:rRNA from 1 species
AGAGCAGCGGACUGGUGAGUAACGCGUGGGUAAUCUGCCUUGGGCAUGGGGAUAGCCAUUAGAAAUAGUGGGUAAUACCGAAUACGUUCCACGGGGGGAGUGCUCGUGGAAGAAAGGGUGCUAGGGCACUGGCCUGAGAUGAGCUCGCGUCCCAUUAGCUAGUUGGUGAGGUAAAGGCCCACCAAGGCGAUGAUGGGUAGCCGGCCUGAGAGGGUGUACGGCCACACUGGUACUGAGAUACGGCCCAGACUCCUACGGGAGGCAGCAGCUAAGAAUAUUCCGCAGUGGAGGGGGGUCUGACGGAGCGACGCCGCGUGGAUGACGAAGGCCGAAAGGUUGUAAAGUUCUUUUGCUGGG